AGGAAAUAGAUACCCGGGUAGUCCACGCCCUAAACGAUGUCUACUAGUUGUUGGUGGAGUAAAAAUCCAUGAGUAAACGCAGCUAAACGCGUGAAGUAGACCGCCUGGGGAGUACGGUCGCAAGAUUAAAACUCAAAGGAAUUGACGGGGGCCCGCACAAGCGGUGGAUUAUGUGGAUUAAUCGAUGCAACGCGAAAAACCUUACCUGGCCUUGACAUGCCACUAACGAAGCAGAGAUGCAUUAGGUGCCCGUAAGGGAAAGUGGACACAGGUGCUGCAUGGCUGUCGCCAGCUCGUGUCGUGAGAUGUUGGGUUAAGUCCCGCAACGAGCGCAACCCUUGCCAUUAAUUGCCAUCAUUUAGUUGGG
rnacentral:rRNA from 1 species